rnacentral:rRNA from 1 species
UACGUAGGGUGCGAGCGUUGUCCGGAAUUAUUGGGCGUAAAGGGCUCGUAGGCGGUCUGUCGCGUCGGGAGUGAAAACUCAGGGCUUAACCCUGAGCCUGCUUCCGAUACGGGCAGACUAGAGGUAUGUAGGGGAGAACGGAAUUCCUGGUGUAGCGGUGGAAUGCGCAGAUAUCAGGAGGAACACCGGUGGCGAAGGCGGUUCUCUGGGCAGUAACUGACGCUGAGGAGCGAAAGCGUGGGGAGCGAACAGG